rnacentral:rRNA from 1 species
UCUGCGUCGGAGUUCAAAACAAAUCGAACAAAACUUUCAACAACGGAUCUCUUGGUUCUGGCAUCGAUGAAGAACGCAGCGAAAUGCGAUAAGUAAUGUGAAUUGCAGAAUUCAGUGAAUCAUCGAAUCUUUGAACGCACAUUGCGCCCUUUGGUAUUCCGAAGGGCAUGCCUGUUCGAGCGUCAUUUC